GACGAACCGUGCGAACGUUAUUCGGAAUCACUGGGCUUAAAGGGAGCGUAGGCGGGCUAUCAAGUCUGGGGUGAAAUGCCGCGGCUCAACCGUGGAACUGCCUCAGAUACUGACGGCCUCGAGGGAGAUAGGGGCAUGCGGAACUGUAGGUGGAGCGGUGAAAUGCGUUGAUAUCUACAGGAACUCCGGUGGCGAAAGCGGCGUGCUGGACCUCUUCUGACGCUGAGGCGCGAAAGCUAGGGGAGCAAACGGG
rnacentral:rRNA from 1 species